UCAGGGCCACCAUUGCUUCUCAACUGGGUGUUGAAGUAGCCUGUCUUUGGACAACAAAACUGACAAUGAAGGGGCUUCUUGAAGGAAGCCCUGGAGGUGAAGAAGUGACUUUUCCGAAGGCAUGAGUCCAACCCAUGCAGAACUGAGACAUACCUUAAUGUCCUCUUCAGUACCAGCCUAAUUACUACAGCACCAGAUCUACAGAAACUGUAACUUCCAGAGGGACCAGCCUUGGCUCAUCCAGAACAUUAAGACACAAGAAAACCAGAUGACUUGCACUUGGCCUGAGAGCAGUGCAACACCUCUGAAGAGAACCAAGAGGCUGACCCCAAUAAGAUACUCCCUGAGACUUCAGCAGAAAGGAGACACCAAAGAAGCCGAGGAAAAGG